rnacentral:tRNA from 1 species
GCUCGGAUGGUCUAGUUGGUUAUGACGCGGCCUUAACACGGCUGAGGUCGGUGGUUCAAUUCCACCUUCGAGUA